AGGGUUCGAUUCUGGCUCAGGACGAACGCUGGCGGCGUGCCUAACACAUGCAAGUCGAGCGGAGACAGUGAGUAGCUUGCUAUGAGCUGUUUUAGCGGCGGACGGGUGAGUAACGCGUGAGCAACCUUUCCCAGACAGGGGAAUAACACACCGAAAGGUGUACUAAUACCGCAUAAGACCACGGAAUCACAUGGUUCUGGGGUAAAAGAUUUAUCGGUUUGGGGUGGGCUCGCGUCCGAUUAGGUAGUUGGUGAGGUAACGGCCCACCAAGCCGACGAUCGGUAGCCGACCUGAGAGGGUGAUCGGCCACAUUGGGACUGAGACACGGCCCAA
rnacentral:rRNA from 1 species